rnacentral:rRNA from 1 species
AACGAACGCUGGCGGCAGGCUUAACACAUGCAAGUCGAGCGCCCCGCAAGGGGAGCGGCAGACGGGUGAGUAACGCGUGGGAACGUACCCUUUGCUACGGAAUAGCUCCGGGAAACUGGAAUUAAUACCGUAUGUGCCCUACGGGGGACAGAUUUAUCGGCAAAGGAUCGGCCCGCGUUGGAUUAGCUAGUUGGUGGGGUAAUGGCCUACCAAGGCGACGAUCCAUAGCUGGUCUGAGAGGAUGAUCAGCCACAUUGGGACUGAGAAACGGCCCAAACUCCUACGGGAGGCAGCAGUGGGGAAUAUUUGACAAUGGGCGCAAGCCUGAUCCAGCCAUGCCGCGUGAGUGAUGAAGGCCUUAGGGUUGUAAAGCUCUUUCACCGGAGAAGAUAAUGACGGUAUCCGGAGAAGAAGCCCCGGCUAACUUCGUGCCAGCCGCCGCGGUAAUAC